UUCUCCCUGAGACUUUAAGUCUCCUGAAGGAACGUUAAAGACGAUGACGUUGAUAGGCCGGGUGUGUAAGCGCAGCGAUGCGUUGAGCUAACCGGUACUAAUGAACCGUGAGGCUUAACCUUACAACGCCGAAG
rnacentral:rRNA from 1 species